AGUAGUUUUGCUAAAGUGGACUCCUUAGAUGAAGCCCGACAGAAAAUUUUCGACAUCCGGGAAGAGUACAGAAACAAAUUGCUGGAAGCUGAGCACCUAAAGCUGGAAACUCUGGCUGCUCAGGAAGCAGCCAUGAAGCUGGAGACAGAAAAGAUGACCCCAGCUCCUGACACACAGAAAAAAAAGAAAGGAAAGAAAAAGUAACCAGGGGAUGUCCAAUACUACCCUGCUUCUGGAGAGAAAAAAUCUAUUUGUAAUGAUCUUUAACUGCCUGCUGUUAAGAUAUUAGGCCAAAUGAAAAUAGAAAUUUCUCUUUCUUAGAAAUAUUUUAAUGCUAACUUGUUAGUUUUCCUCAGAAAGCUAGUAUUUGAAGCCAUUUGAGUUUAAGAUGCUCUAAUUUCAAUAAAAUAGCUUCCAAAUAUUUAAUAAAAU
rnacentral:lncRNA from 10 species